GUGCUCAUGAGAACAAUGUUCCCUAGGUUCUUGUGUGUUACUAGCAGUUUGUGCUUUUCAUCAUUGAAGGAAGGAGGAGAAAGCACAGAGAAGAUGUUGCCUUUUGAUUCCAUGGAGAAAGCCGGGCAAUCAAUAUGAAAUUGGCAGUAAAGAGGCAGAGGCUUUUCAGAGGUGAGAUCUUCUUACUUCUGUCACUACAAAGAAGAUCAAGGAACUCAGACAUUUGGAGCUGGCACCUCUCAAGUGACAGUAAGAGCCCAGCUGAUGGUCAAUAAUAGCAUCAGCUCUUUUCUCUGCUGGUUCUUCAUUCUGGCCUUGAGGUGCGCUGAGAAAAGCCUUCCAGAGUGUCUUCAGUUUGUUUCCUGCCCUGCAGUCCGGCAGGUAGGGUUGUGGGCUGCAUCACCCAGGCCUGGGCAGCAGGGAAAUCGCAUAUUCCAAGCACCAUUCCGGCAGACUCUGAUGGAACAUCUCGGAGAAGCUGUCUC
rnacentral:lncRNA from 1 species